UUUCGCAAUGCCCGAAAGGGUGACGAAGCGACGCCGCGUGAGUGAGGAAGGCCUUCGGGUUGUAAAGCUCUGUCAGGAGUUAAGAAAUAUAAGUGUGUUAAUACCACAUUUAUUUGACGAAGGCUCCAAAGGAAGCCACGGCUAACUCUGUGCCAGCAGCCGCGGUAAUACAGAGGUGGCAAGCGUUGUUCGGAAUUAUUGGGCGUAAAGAGCACGUAGGUGGGUUUGUAAGUCAGAUGUGAAAGCCUUCUGUUCAACGGAAGAAUUGCAUCUGAAACUGCGAGUCUUGAGUGUAGGAGGGGAGAAUGGAACUUCUGGUGGAGCGGUGAAAUGCGUAGAUAUCAGAAGGAACGCCGGCGGCGAAAGCGAUUCUCUGGCCUAUUACUGACACUCAGUGUGCGAAAGCUAGGGGAGCAAACGGGAUUAGAUACCCCGGUAGUCCUAACUGUAAACGAUGGGCACUAAGUAGAGGGGUUUUA
rnacentral:rRNA from 1 species